AUGUGUGCCCUCAUACUCUCGCUGCUCGAUUCUGAAACCAGGGCUUUCUGAUCGGUGGAUUUGAUUCUUAUCACACGCGACGCGACGUGGCGGAGCAGGCGCGGCAGCACGAUGGCUCCAAAUCCGGAGGCACCAGGCGAGCAGCUAGAGCCUCCCGGCGAGGACGAGGACCUCGACGUUGAGGAGGUCGACCCCACCGAGCGCUACUUACGGUACAAGGAGAUUCUUGGAUCAGGGGGCUUCAAGACAGU